UAGGGAAUAUUGGGCAAUGGAUGGAAGUCUGACCCAGCCAUCCCGCGUGCCGGAAGACGGCCCUCAGGGUUGUAAACGGCUUUUGACGGUGAAGAAUAGGCGGGAUGCGUCCUGUUUUGACGGUAGCCGUUGAAUAAGCACCGGCUAACUCCGUGCCAGCAGCCGCGGUAAUACGGAGGGUGCGAGCGUUGUCCGGAUUUAUUGGGUUUAAAGGGUGCGUAGGCUGGGAGGUAAGUCAGCGGUGAAAAGCACACGCUUAACGGGUGUCUUGCCGCAGAUACUACUUUUCUUGGAUGAGGAGGAGGUCACUGGAACGGAUGGUGUAGCGGUGAAAUGCAUAGAUAUCAUCCAGAACACCGAUUGCGAAGGCAGGUGACUGUACCUUAAUCGACGCUGAGGCACGAAAGCGUGGGGAGCGAACAGGAUUAGAUACCCUGGUAGUCCACGCCGUAAACGAUGAGGACUAGCUGUUGGGCCUAUAGGGUUCAGUGGCAAAGGGAAACCGUUAAGUCCUCCACCUGGGGAGUACGCCGGCAACGGUGAAACUCAAAGGAAUUGACGGAGUGUACGACU
rnacentral:rRNA from 1 species